UUAAGCGACUAAGCGUACACGGUGGAUGCCCUGGCAGUCAGAGGCGAUGAAGGGCGUGCUAAUCUGCGAUAAGCGCCGGUAAGGUGAUAUGAACCGUUAUAACCGGCGAUACCCGAAUGGGGAAACCCAGUGUGAUUCGUCACACUAUCAUUAACUGAAUCCAUAGGUUAAUGAGGCGAACCGGGGGAACUGAAACAUCUAAGUACCCCGAGGAAAAGAAAUCAACCGAGAUUCCCCCAGUAGCGGCGAGCGAACGGGGAGGAGCCCAGAGCCUGAAUCAGCAUGUGUGUUAGUGGAAGCGUCUGGAAAGGCGCGCGAUACAGGGUGACAGCCCCGUACACAAAAGCGCAUGUGCUGUGAGCUCGAUGAGUAGGGCGGGACACGUGGUAUCCUGUCUGAAUAUGGGGGGACCAUCCUCCAAGGCUAAAUACUCCUGACUGACCGAUAGUGAACCAGUACCGUGAGGGAAAGGCGAAAAGAACCCCGGCGAGGGGAGUGAAAAAGAACCUGAAACCGUGUACGUACAAGCAGUGGGAGCACAGGUUUACCUGUGUGACUGCGUACCUUUUGUAUAAUGGGUCAGCGACUUAUAUUCUGUAGCAAGGUUAACCGAAUAGGGGAGCCGGAGGGAAACCGAGUCUUAAUUGGGCGUUAAGUUGCAGGGUAUAGACCCGAAACCCGGUGAUCUAGCCAUGGGCAGGUUGAAGGUUGGGUAACACUAACUGGAGGACCGAACCGACUAAUGUUGAAAAAUUAGCGGAUGACCUGUGGCUGGGGGUGAAAGGCCAAUCAAACCGGGAGAUAGCUGGUUCUCCCCGAAAGCUAUUUAGGUAGCGCCUCGUGAAUUCAUCUCCGGGGGUAGAGCACUGUUUCGGCUAGGGGGCCAUCCCGGCUUACCAACCCGAUGCAAACUGCGAAUACCGGAGAAUGUUAUCACGGGAGACACACGGCGGGUGCUAACGUCCGUCGUGAAGAGGGAAACAACCCAGACCGCCAGCUAAGGUCCCAAAGUCAUGGUUAAGUGGGAAACGAUGUGGGAAGGCCCAGACAGCCAGGAUGUUGGCUUAGAAGCAGCCAUCAUUUAAAGAAAGCGUAAUAGCUCACUGGUCGAGUCGGCCUGCGCGGAAGAUGUAACGGGGCUAAACCAUGCACCGAAGCUGCGGCAGCGACGCUGAUGCGUUGUUGGGUAGGGGAGCGUUCUGUAAGCCUGCGAAGGUGGCCUGUGAGGGUUGCUGGAGGUAUCAGAAGUGCGAAUGCUGACAUAAGUAACGAUAAAGCGGGUGAAAAGCCCGCUCGCCGGAAGACCAAGGGUUCCUGUCCAACGUUAAUCGGGGCAGGGUGAGUCGACCCCUAAGGCGAGGCCGAAAGGCGUAGUCGAUGGGAAACGGGUUAAUAUUCCCGUACUUGGUGUUACUGCGAAGGGGGGACGGAGAAGGCUAUGUUGGCCGGGCGACGGUUGUCCCGGUUUAAGCGUGUAGGUGUGUGUUCCAGGUAAAUCCGGUUCACUUUAACACUGAGGCGUGAUGACGAGGCACUACGGUGCUGAAGCAACAAAUGCCCUGCUUCCAGGAAAAGCCUCUAAGCAUCAGGUAACAUCAAAUCGUACCCCAAACCGACACAGGUGGUCAGGUAGAGAAUACCAAGGCGCUUGAGAGAACUCGGGUGAAGGAACUAGGCAAAAUGGUGCCGUAACUUCGGGAGAAGGCACGCUGACACGUAGGUGAAGUGAUUUACUCAUGGAGCUGAAGUCAGUCGAAGAUACCAGCUGGCUGCAACUGUUUAUUAAAAACACAGCACUGUGCAAACACGAAAGUGGACGUAUACGGUGUGACGCCUGCCCGGUGCCGGAAGGUUAAUUGAUGGGGUCAGCGCAAGCGAAGCUCCUGAUCGAAGCCCCGGUAAACGGCGGCCGUAACUAUAACGGUCCUAAGGUAGCGAAAUUCCUUGUCGGGUAAGUUCCGACCUGCACGAAUGGCGUAAUGAUGGCCAGGCUGUCUCCACCCGAGACUCAGUGAAAUUGAACUCGCUGUGAAGAUGCAGUGUACCCGCGGCAAGACGGAAAGACCCCGUGAACCUUUACUAUAGCUUGACACUGAACAUUGAGCCUUGAUGUGUAGGAUAGGUGGGAGGCUUUGAAGUGUGGACGCCAGUCUGCAUGGAGCCGACCUUGAAAUACCACCCUUUAAUGUUUGAUGUUCUAACGUGGACCCGUGAUCCGGGUUGCGGACAGUGUCUGGUGGGUAGUUUGACUGGGGCGGUCUCCUCCUAAAGAGUAACGGAGGAGCACGAAGGUUGGCUAAUCCUGGUCGGACAUCAGGAGGUUAGUGCAAUGGCAUAAGCCAGCUUGACUGCGAGCGUGACGGCGCGAGCAGGUGCGAAAGCAGGUCAUAGUGAUCCGGUGGUUCUGAAUGGAAGGGCCAUCGCUCAACGGAUAAAAGGUACUCCGGGGAUAACAGGCUGAUACCGCCCAAGAGUUCAUAUCGACGGCGGUGUUUGGCACCUCGAUGUCGGCUCAUCACAUCCUGGGGCUGAAGUAGGUCCCAAGGGUAUGGCUGUUCGCCAUUUAAAGUGGUACGCGAGCUGGGUUUAGAACGUCGUGAGACAGUUCGGUCCCUAUCUGCCGUGGGCGCUGGAGAACUGAGGGGGGCUGCUCCUAGUACGAGAGGACCGGAGUGGACGCAUCACUGGUGUUCGGGUUGUCAUGCCAAUGGCACUGCCCGGUAGCUAAAUGCGGAAGAGAUAAGUGCUGAAAGCAUCUAAGCACGAAACUUGCCCCGAGAUGAGUUCUCCCUGAGACUUAGAGUCUCCUGAAGGAACGUUGAAGACGACGACGUUGAUAGGCCGGGUGUGUAAGCGCAGCGAUGCGUUGAGCUAACCGGUACUAAUGAACCGUGAGGCUUAACCUU
rnacentral:rRNA from 1 species